rnacentral:snRNA from 1 species
GGCUGUAAGGACAAUCUGGCCGCGACAUUUGUCACCCCGUUGAUCGCCAGGGUUGAUACAGCUGAUCUGGCUGGCCAGGCGGGUGUCCUCUUCCUCCCUCACCGCUCCAUGCGCGUCCCUCCCAAAGCUGCGCGAUCGGUGGAAGAAGACGGCUAUCCCCAACAGAGGAGCACGAUCUUCGGUCAAGGGUAUACAAGCAGCUGCGCUCCCCUGCUGAACCUCCAAACAAGCUCUCAAAGAUAUUAACUGAUUUUCCUGAAGACACACUUCUGGAACAAAAUGUAACUCGAGUACAGAAUUUUAUACCAAACUAAAUUAAACUCCAUGAGGGAAGUAAAGUAAAUUU